rnacentral:misc_RNA from 1 species
CAAAGAUAUUGAUGCCAGUACAGUGCAAGAAUCAGUAAAUCACUGGCUGUCAAAGACACACAACUUUUGGAAUGAAGUCACUUCACCACUGGUAAAAACUGUAAAUGAUAAAAGAACCAGUUUUCAUGAUGAUACGCAAGAUACGGAGGAAGUAUUCAUGGCUGAACAGACUGUCGAUAGCCAAACACCGAAUGGCGAUCUUUCUGUAGCUACCAUUCUUUCGAUUGAUCAAUUUAGCAGG